GACGAACGCUGGCAGCGUGCUUAACACAUGCAAGUCGAACGGAAAGGCCCUGCUUUUGUGGGGUGCUCGAGUGGCGAACGGGUGAGUAGCACGUGAGUAACCUGCCCUUGACUUUGGGAUAACUUCAGGAAACUGGGGCUAAUACCGGAUAGGAGCUCCUGCUGCAUGGUGGGGGUUGGAAAGUUUCGGCGGUUGGGGAUGGACUCGCGGCUUAUCAGCUUGUUGGUGGGGUAGUGGCUUACCAAGGCUUUGACGGGUAGCCGGCCUGAGAGGGUGACCGGCCACAUUGGGACUGAGAUACGGCCCAGACUCCUACGGGAGGCAGCAGUGGGGAAUAUUGCACAAUGGGCGGAAGCCUGAUGCAGCAACGCCGCGUGCGGGAUGACGGCCUUCGGGUUGUAAACCGCUUUCGCCUGUGACGAAGCGUGAGUGACGGUAAUGGGUAAAGAAGCACCGGCUAACUACGUG
rnacentral:rRNA from 1 species